AAUAAGCGGAGGAAAAGAAACCAACAGGGAUUGCCCUAGUAACGGCGAGUGAAGCGGCAACAGCUCAAAUUUGAAAUCUGGCUCUUUCAGAGUCCGAGUUGUAAUUUGCAGAGGGCGCUUUGGCUUUGGCAGCGGUCCAAGUUCCUUGGAACAGGACGUCACAGAGGGUGAGAAUCCCGUACGUGGUCGCUAGCUAUUGCCGUGUAAAGCCCCUUCGACGAGUCGAGUUGUUUGGGAAUGCAGCUCUAAAUGGGAGGUAAAUUUCUUCUAAAGCUAAAUAUUGGCCAGAGACCGAUAGCGCACAAGUAGAGUGAUCGAAAGAUGAAAAGCACUUUGGAAAGAGAGUCAAACAGCACGUGAAAUUGUUGAAAGGGAAGCGCUUGCAGCCAGACUUGCUUGCAGUUGCUCAUCCGGGCUUUUGCCCGGUGCACUCUUCUGUAGGCAGGCCAGCAUCAGUUUGGGCGGUGGGAUAAAGGUCUCUGUCACGUACCUCUCUUCGGGGAGGCCUUAUAGGGGAGACGACAUACCACCAGCCUAGACUGAGGUCCGCGCAUCUGCUAGGAUGCUGGCGUAAUGGCUGUAAGCGGCCCGUCUUGAAACACGGACCAAGGAGUCUAACAUCUAUGCGAGUGUUUGGGUGUCAAGCCCGAGCGCGUAAUGAAAGUGAACGGAGGUGGGAACCCGCAAGGGUGCACCAUCGACCGAUCCUGAAGUUUACGGAAGGAUUUGAGUAAGAGCAUGGCUGUUGGGACCCGAAAGAUGGUGAACUAUGCUUGAAUAGGGUGAAGCCAGAGGAAACUCUGGUGGAGGCUCGCAGCGGUUCUGACGUGCAAAUCGAUCGUCAAAUUUGGGCAUAGGGGCGAAAGACUAAU
rnacentral:rRNA from 1 species